rnacentral:rRNA from 1 species
ACCUACGGGGGGCAGCAGUGGGGGAUAUUGCACAAUGGGGGAAACCCUGAUGCAGCGACGCCGCGUGAGUGAAGAAGUAUUUCGGUAUGUAAAGCUCUAUCAGCAGGGAAGAAAAUGACAGUACCUGACCAAGAAGCCCCGGCUAACUACGUGCCAGCAGCCGCGGUAAUACGUAGGGGGCAAGGGUUGUCCGGAAUUACUGGGUGUAAAGGGAGCGUAGGCGGGAAGCCAAGUCAGCUG